CCUACGGGAGGCAGCAGUGGGGAAUAUUGCACAAUGGGCGAAAGCCUGAUGCAGCGACGCCGCGUGAGGGAUGACGGCCUUCGGGUUGUAAACCUCUUUCAGUAGGGAAGAAGCGAAAGUGACGGUACCUGCAGAAGAAGCGCCGGCCAACUACGUGCCAGCAGCCGCGGUAAUACGUAGGGCGCAAGCGUUAUCCGGAAUUAUUGGGCGUAAAGAGCUCGUAGGCGGUUUGUCGCGUCUGCCGUGAAAGUCCGGGGCUCGACUCCGGAUCUGCGGUGGGUACGGGCAGACCAGAGUGAUGUAGGGGAGACUGGAAUUCCUGGUGUAGCGGUGAAAUGCGCAGAUAUCAGGAGGAACACCGAUGGCGAAGGCAGGUCUCUGGGCAUUAACUGACGCUGAGGAGCGAAAGCAUGGGGAGCGAACAGGAUUAGAUACCCUGGUAGUCCAUGCCGUAAACGUUGGGCACUAGGUGUGGGGGACAUUCCACGUUUUCCGCGCCGUAGCUAACGCAUUAAGUGCCCCGCCUGGGGNGGACGGCCGCGACGACGUAACUACGAAGAAGUAGACGGCGUGAGACGUCGCGACGACGACGACGAGGGAGAGG
rnacentral:rRNA from 1 species